AUUGAACGCUGGCGGCAGGCUUAACACAUGCAAGUCGAACGAGUGGCGUACGGGUUAGUUAUGCUUGGGAAUCUAGCUUAUGGAUGGCGAUAACUACGGGACACUGUAGCUAAUACCGCGUACAUUAGGAUGGGCCCAAGUUGGAUUAGGUAGGUGGUGAGGUAAAGGCUUACCAAGCCGACGAUCUCUAGCUGGUCUGAGAGGAUGACCAGCCACACUGGAACUGAGACACGGCCCAGACUCCUACGGGAGGCAGCAGUGGGGAAUAUUGCGCAAUGGGGGAAAGCUGACGCAGCCAUGCCGCGUGAAUGAAGAAGGCCUUCGGGUUGUAAAGUUCUUUAGGUAGCGAGGCGUUACCUACAGAAGAAGCACCGGCUAACUCCGUGCCAGCAGCCGCGGUAAUAC
rnacentral:rRNA from 1 species